UACGUAGGGUGCAAGCGUUAUCCGGAAUUAUUGGGCGUAAAGAGCUCGUAGGCGGUUUGUCGCGUCUGCUGUGAAAACUGGAGGCUCAACCUCGGGCCUGCAGUGGGUACGGGCAGACUAGAGUGCGGUAGGGGAGAUUGGAAUUCCUGGUGUAGCGGUGGAAUGCGCAGAUAUCAGGAGGAACACCGAUGGCGAAGGCAGAUCUCUGGGCCGUAACUGACGCUGAGGAGCGAAAGCGUGGGGAGCGAACAGG
rnacentral:rRNA from 1 species